rnacentral:rRNA from 1 species
AGAGUUUGAUCCUGGCUCAGAUUGAACGCUGGCGGCAGGCUUAACACAUGCAAGUCGAGCGGUAACAGGGGGAGCUUGCUCCCCGCUGACGAGCGGCGGACGGGUGAGUAAUGCAUAGGAAACUGCCCAGUAGUGGGGGAUAGCCCGGGGAAACCCGGAUUAAUACCGCAUACGCCCUUUGGGGGAAAGCAGGGGAUCUUCGGACCUUGCGCUAUUGGAUGUGCCUAUGUCGGAUUAGCUAGUUGGUGGGGUAAGAGCCUACCAAGGCGACGAUCCGUAGCUGGUCUGAGAGGAUGAUCAGCCACAUCGGGACUGAGACACGGCCCGAACUCCUACGGGAGGCAGCAGUGGGGAAUAUUGGACAAUGGGGGCAACCCUGAUCCAGCCAUGCCGCGUGUGUGAAGAAGGCUUUCGGGUUGUAAAGCACUUUCAGUGAGGAGGAAAACCUUACGACUAAUACUCGUGAGGCUUGACGUUACUCACAGAAGAAGCACCGGCUAACUCCGUGCCAGCAGCCGCGGUAAUACGGAGGGUGCAAGCGUUAAUCGGAAUUACUGGGCGUAAA